rnacentral:rRNA from 1 species
GAUGAACGCUAGCGGCAGGCCUAAUACAUGCAAGUCGGACGGGAUUGAGGAGCUUGCUCUUCAUGAGAGUGGCGCACGGGUGCGUAACACGUAUGUAACCUACCUUGUUCAGGGGGAUAGCCUCUCGAAAGAGAGAUUAAGACCGCAUAACAUAUUGAAGUGGCAUCACUUUAUUAUCAAAUAUUUAUAGGAACAAGAUGGGCAUGCGGAACAUUAGCUAGUUGGUGAGGUAACGGCUAACCAAGGCGACGAUGUUUAGGGGAGCUGAGAGGAUGGCCCCCCACACUGGUACUGGGCCACGGACCAGACUCCUACGGGAGGCAGCAGUAAGGAAUAUUGGUCAGUGGACGGAAGUCUGAACCAGCCAUGCCGCGUGCAGGAAGACGGCCCUAUGGGUUGUAAACUGCUUUUGCAGGGGAAUAAACCUCUCUACGUGUAGAGAGCUGAAUGUACUCUGAGAAUAAGGAUCGGCUAACUCCGUGCCAGCCGCCGCCGUAA